UGCUGUUCACCUGGCAGGCUUCUAGACACCAGAGUACCCUUGGGCUUGGUGCCUGCUCCUCUCUCUACUGACACCCUCCCUCUAGGAUGCCUCAGUGAGUUCACUGCUGUCUAUUUGUAGCUAAGGACCUGAGGUUUAUACCUCCAUCCAUUCAAACUCCUCCUGGGUCCAGAGUCAUAUAUUCAAAUGUCAGCCUAACUCUCUGUAUUGACCUCUUUAUGCAUUAUAAUGAUACAUUCCUCAUAUGGCCAUCACGAAAAGCAAACAUGAAAGAAAAAGCACGGGAGUGCCUGGCACCAGUGUAGGUACUCAAUGAACAUUAGCUGUUGGUAUUAUCCUUGACAUCCCCAUGUGGGGUGAAGUUUUAUUACCUGACAUUUCCGUGUGAAUAUCUAACAGCUACACCAUGUUAUCUAGGCUAUGAAACAAUUCUUGGUUCCAACCACCAUUCUGUCCUUAUCGAUGAAUUUCUCAAGGCUUCGGUGAUGGGAGUGUGUGUUUUUCCACACAAUGGACGUGAUUAGGAAUGGUUGGCUAUGUCCUACACAAUAAAUUGCUCCAGCAUUCCUAUGGGUGACCAUUGAGACAAGUUUCAGCCAACGAAUGUAGCAAAGAAUUGGAACCACUCUCAGCUGUUCAUGCGAGUACUCUCAAUCCAGAAUAUCUGGUAAAUCGACUGUUAGGGAUUGAAUUGUGUCCCUCCACAAUGUAUGUGGAAAUCCUAACCCCUGUACCUGUAAAUCUGACCUUGUUAGGAAAGGGGGGGCCUGCUUUUAUUAUGUGAAUGAGGUCAUACCAAUGUAGGGUGGGUCCUAAGCCUAACUCCUCUUAGUUAUAAAAGGAGCAGAAUACACACAGACACAAACAGAUGAAAAGGAAGACAGACAAAGAAGACAGAUGCUUCUAGAAGGCCAGGAACACAAAUGAUUGCUGGCAUCUACUAGAAGCUGAGGUAGACAAGGAAGGACCUCCCACUACAGCCAUGCCCUGAAUUCGAACGACUACCUGCUAAACUGUGAGAAAAUAAAUUUCUGUUCUUUAAAGCCAUCCAGUUGUGUUAUUUUUUGUUAUGGAGGGACUAGGUAACUAACACACAUACCCGUUCUUAUAAGUUCAGCCCAGUGCAGAAUAAUUUUCUUCCCUCCUUGGUCUAACCCACCCGAACCUGCUCUUUCCCUAUCAGUGUCCUUUGCUUUCACCUAAGAGCUAUGACAGAGUCAGCUCGAUGGUGAUGCAUUGAAAUUUCAAUUUAUUUUUUAUUUAUGAUUACUAUUAAUUCCAGUAUUUUCUACAGUUUUCAAUGGAGACAGUCCUAUAAUCUAUGAAUAGCAGUUAUACUUUUUCUCUUUUUGUACUAGCUUACACUUCCAGUGUUCAAUGUUUAAUAAAAGUAAUGAUAGAAGCACCCUUAUUUUAUUGUUUAUUAAUUUUAAAGAGAAUGUCCCACACGUCACCAUGAACUAUCAUGCUAGUUGUAGUUUUCUACGUUUGGGAACUCCUUUUCUGUUCCAUAUUUGCUCCUAGUCCUUAUCUCUCCGUGUGAUUGGAUUUUAUCAACCUGCUUUGCCCCCAUCUCUUGAGGUGAGCAUAUGUCUUCUCUUCUUUCACCUAUGCAUGUGGUGAAUGAAAUUACUAAAUCUUUAACGUUCACUCAAAUUUAUAUGCCUACAAUAAACCGCCUUGAUCAUGGCAUGUUACGUGGUUUAUACUUUGCUGGAUUUCCUUUGCUGGCAUCUUACGUAGGGUUUUGCAUCUCAGUUACUGAGUGUGCUUGUCCUCUAACUCUUCUCUACCAUCCUUCUCUAAUUUGUUAUCAUUUUUAAACUAGCCUUAAGGAUCAAGUUAGGGGAGUAUCUCAUGGUUUUCUAAUCUCUGUUGACUAUGUACAAGAUUAAAGUUACUGUUUCUUGCAUGUUUGCUGGAACCUGACUGGAAACGAUCUAGGUCUGCCAUUUUCUUUGUAGGGAGAUCUUGAAGUACUGACCCAUUUUAUUUAGUGGUUAAAGGCAUCUUCUGGUGCUAAUUUACUUAGAAAAAAUUCUGAUGCAUGUUCUAGGUUGCUCGAAUCUCAUCUUCAAAUAUUGAUUAUCAGGGCUUGUAGCCUCAUGCAAGGCAAUUCAUCAAUCCCAGAUUUCCCCAAAGUCAGGCUCUGCAACUCUUCCUGGUACCAAAUUCCCUCAUUUAAGACUUAUUUGCAAAGAGACAACAGUAUGCUAUCUACGCAGUUGUUUAUCCGCAGCCUUCUUGAGUCCAUAAUGUGAGGAUACAGUCUUCUAAUACUUUUUUUGUAAUUGUUCUUUUUCUUAUUUUUUUUUCCUUUUUUCACUGCCAAAACCCACCUCCCCAGUCUAGUAGUUUUAAAGUUGUGAGUUUCAGGUUCAAGUCUGUAAUCCAGCUGAGCUUCUGUGUGUGCUGCAUGUGUGCAUCAAAAGAACACGCUUCUAGAAGCAGAAAGCAGGCAGUGCGACUGUUGGGUGGUUGGUGGGGUAGGGGGAGGGGAGCUGCUGCUCAGAGACAGCACCCGAGGGAGGCACGAGAUGCCGGGCUGCCCACCGCAAGCCCGCAGGCUCCAAGGAGGAGGAAACUGCGUGCGCCAUGAGCCUUUUGAGACAGGCCCAAGCCCACCUAGCCGGGUGCUAACCUCACAUCUGCCAGGCUUGCAGGUUCCACCAGGACUAGGGGAAGCCUAAGGCCAAGGAGGGCAAGGUCUAGGGUCUGGACCUGAAAACUGGUUCUGCCACUUGUGAUCACAGCGCUUAUGCUGGAAAGGAGGGCAGGAAGCAUAUCGCAAUGUGUGUCCGGACGAUGACCCAGAAGGGGGGAGUUGUGGUCACCUACGGACUCUGGGUCUGCAUAUGGAGGCCCCCAGGGUGCAAUUCCAGGAGCAGAAGGCAAAGCACAGAGGCCAAAGUGUACCUCGCCGAUGCUUCCCAGGGGCAUUUCCCCAAAUAUGGGGAGCAGUCCCUUCUCUGGGCUAGGGACUUUGUUUCCUCCAUUGUCAUCACUGACUGUGAGCAGACUCUAGUCUAUGAAGACUAAUGAGGAGCUAUCAAAAUGAGCUCCAAACUCCGGAUUUGAGUUAAGGAUCAUAAAUUAACACAGAGAAAUACGACUUUAGCAAUAAGUGACUGUUUGAAGUCCAGGUUGCCUUAAAACACGGAAUUUCAGUCUUUCAGCUCCUCUGCUAAUGUAGUGACUAAGAACAGGAUCUCAGUGGAGCUCAAAGAUGUGGGGCACUGGGAAUACUCUGGGUCUGUCUGCUCACGGCUGAUUGCCUGAUUCCCAGUUUUAUUAUACAGCUUAAAUACAGACCAGAAGAGGAGUUUGGGGCUUGACACCUGACAUCUUAACACCAGUUCCUGUUUCUUGAGGAAGGAAGAGGUAAAAUAAAUCAGCGUUUACUGUGUCCUUCUCCAUCCCCGGAAGUCUUCAUGAAGACCCUCUCAGCUUCAACUUGAACGUGAAUAUGAGCAACUGAUCAUCUGUUCUGCAGUCAGCCCCUGGCCUGAUUCUGACUCAUGAUAUUGACCUUCUCCAUCAUCACCUUCCACAAAUUUGAUUCCUAUCUAUUCUGCCUGGAAUAGCUCACGAGUAUAGUCACCAUUUAUGUUCCUGAUGAAAGCAGGAGAAGGCAUUCGUGGAGAGAGGCGGAUUCCAUGUGUGCAGGCAAAGUGUGUGCUGAGAUGAUGAGUCGCUGGAGACCAGUGUGCACUCUUCAGACCCAGGAUAGGCCUCUGGCAGCAGGAGAAGGCAUUCAUGGAGAGAGGCGGAUUCCAUGUGUGCAGGCAAAGUGUGUGCUGAGAUGAUGAGACCCUGGAGACCAGGGUGGACUCUUCAGACCCAGGAUAGGCCUCUGGCAGGUAUGUGUCAAUAUUUUCUGCCCGUGGCACUCACCCGGGUAUUUGCAUACAAUGUCAUCAGCGGAAUUAGUAGUCUCCGGAGAGGCUUCCACAUGUCAACAACAUUCACCCGGCCAGGGUCCACCCGUGAGGUAGCUCUCCAAUCAAUCACUACUCUCUAGACCUUCCAGAUAGACUAGCAGAUCUUCUCUGCCCAUGGGCAACCAGUAGAGCCAGAGGCCUUCCCCCUUUGCUCUUUCAUCUCUAGGCACUCUGUCAGGCACUCCAAGCUGUGAAGUGACUCGGGGAGAGAAGGAAGAGAUUUCAGAGGAUGAACACAUACAGAGAGAGAGGCAAGAUAUGCUGAGUGGGGAUGUCUUGCGUACUGUUAUCCUGAGGAAAGUGGGAAAAUCGGACCCUGGCCUGCUCUGCCAAUGCCCUGAAGCAGUCCGCACCAGGGGAUCCCUUGUGCCUGCGUAGCCUUUCCCAGGGUGUGCUCAAAUCCUGUGGCCACUAGGUGUCCUAGGUCACAAUGGAGGGCCCUGUGUCAUCUGCCUGGUGGGCUGGAUCUCUGCCACUGGCUGAGUCUUGUCACCAGGCCCAUCGUAAGCUCCGCCCACUCUUCCGGUGGGGGGACUGUCUCCAUGGUGAUGGCAAAGAAGCCUUAGUUCCGCCCACCUGGCCUUCACUUCACCUACCUGGCCUGCUGACCCUCACUCAGACCUCUGUGUUGAUCAAAAUAAAUGUCCGCCAGUGGCCAGGUGUCAGCAUCUGGGACAAAGGAUUCGGGACCUUGCCUGAGGCAGAAGGCAGCCUAGGUCUGUGGGUACCUGGAAGUCUAGUGACUUGUGACGCUGCUGCCAGUGAUAGAUGGUGACUCCCACACUCACAUAUCCCCUGGUGGCAGAAUGAUAGUGAUGGGUGGAGAAACAUGGCUCCAGAGCACAAGUUCAGUGGGGCACCGGCCAAAGGCCAGGGCCAGGAGUGGAUGUCGUGGAGCUGAAUGGUGAGCCAGUGAAGGGCCCAAGGAUUUCUCCAACGAGGUAAAAUGCAGAUCAAGCCAAGGAACACAAAGAUAAAGCAGCUGAAGAAAUUAAAAAGGUUACUCAAGAACAUAAUUAAAAAUUUAAUAAGCUGCAAGAAACCAUAGAGAGACUGCAAUCAGAAAUUCAGAAGAUUAACAAUAAAAUUACAGAGUUAGAAAACUCAAUAGAAAGUAAGAAGAGCACAGUUGAAGAACUGGAAGACAGAAUUACUGAGAUUGAAGAUCAAACUCUUGGGACUAAUAUAUUUGAAGAGACAGCAGAUAAAAGAAUUUUAAAUGAAGAAAUCCAAAGAAUCAUGUGGGACUUUAUCAAGAGAAAUAACUAUGAGUGAUUUCAGUACCAGAACAGGGAGGGCUAACAGAAAAUACAAAGGGAACUGUUGAAGAUUUGUUGGCAGAAAACUUCCAUGAUAUCAUGAAAGAUGCUCAUCGAAUUCCACAUAAGGUAGAUCUCAAAAGAAAGUGACCGAGAGACAUAAUAAUCAAACUUGCCAAAAUCAAAUAUAAAGAGAAUUUUAAGAGAGGCUAGGGAUAAAGGAAGUCACCAACAAAGGAGAGUAAAUAAUAAUAAACUUGGUCUACUCAGCAGAAAUCAUGCAGGCAAGAAGGCAAAGGGAUGACUUAUACAAAAUAUUGAAGGAAAAAAAUUGCCAGCCAGGAAUCAAACCAUAACCCUGGCCCUCUGGCCUUCUGGCCCUCUGGCCUUAGCCCUCUAACUCUAGCCCCUAAGCCCUGAGCCCCAAAGCCCCUAAGACCCUAAGCCCUUAGAUCCUAACCCCCAAGGCCCUAAACUCUAACCUCAACCCAAACCCUAAGCCCUAUACCCUAAACCCUACAACCUAAACACCUACACCCCAAAAUACUACACAUCAAAACCCUACACACUAAACCCUAUACUCUAAGCCUCAAACCCUAAACCCAAACCUCAAAUCCCAAAGCCCAAACCCUAAACCUAACCGUAAACCCUAAACCCUAACACCUAACCCUAACCCCUAACCACCCUAACCCUAACCCUCGAACCCUAACCCUCUAACGCUAACAUGAAACCCUAAUCCGAAACCCUAACCCUCUAACUCUAACCUCUAACCCUAACACUCUAGCCCUAGCCCUAAUCCUAACCCCAACCUCCAAACCCAACCCCAAACCUUAGACCUCAAAUCCCUAGCCCUAAACCUAAGAAUGAGCCUAAGCCUAACCCUAUCACUUAACUCUAAACCCUACACCAUAACACUUAAAACCCUAACACGCAAAACCCUAACACCCUUAGCCCUAACACAUUUAACCCUAACACCCUAAACACCAAAACCCUAAACACUAACACCCAUAACCCCAAACCCCUACCUCGUAAACCCUAAACUUAAACGCUAAACCAUCUAACCCUCUAACCCUAAUACCCUAAACCCUAACCCCAGCCCCCAGCCUUAACGCUCUCUCUAAGCCUUAAACCUUAGGCCCUAAACCCUAGGAUCUAAGCCCUAAGCCCUAAACUCUAAGUCCUAAAACCCUAAACUCUAAGCCCUAAGCCUAACCCUCUAAUCCUAAACCCUAAAACUUUACCCGAAACCCAUCCCAGACCCCUAAACCUGAACCCCUAAGCCCUAGCCCUAACCCCUAACCCUAAACCUCUAAACCAUACCCCUAAUCCUCUAAACCUAAACCUCUAACCCUAAACCUCUAACCCUAACUCUCUAACCCUAACCACAACACCAACCCCAACCUCGGAACCCUGAAACCCUAACCCCCUAACCCCAAGCCUCUGAACCCUAAGCCUAAACCCUCUAACCCUAAACCCUAACCUUCACCCCCUCACACCCUCACUUUCUCACUCCCUCACUCUAUAAUCUUCUCAACCUCUAACCCCCUCACCCUCUGACCCCUCACCCUCUAACUCUCUCAAUCUCUAACCCCAACCCUCUAACACCCACCCUCUAACCCCAAACCACAUAUCCCAAACAAACCCAACACCAACCCCAACCCUAAACCUAAACCCUAACCCCUAAAACCUAACCCAAACCCUAACGACUAAACCCCAAAACCCUAAACCCCAAACUGCAACCCCUAACACCUAACCUGUAACUCCAAACUCUAACCUCAAACCCUAGACCUAACCCUUACACCUAACCCCAACCAAAAAACCCUAACUCUAAACUCUAACCCCAAACCCUAAGGACCCUAACUCUAACAACCUUAACCCUAACAUCCCUAACCCCAAACCCUAACCCUUUUUGUUAGCAGCCGUAGCACUUAACCACUAGCCACCAGGGUUUCCAUGAGCAGUCACAGGAAUAGACAUAUGCACACCCGUGUUCACUGCAACAUUAUUCACAGUAGCAAAAAGAUGGAAACAACCUAAGUGCUCGUCCACAGAGGAAUGGAUAAACAAACUACGGUACAUACACACAGUGGAACACUACACGACAAUAAAGACCAAUGAUGAAUCUCCGAAACAUCUCACACCAUGGAUGAAUCUGGGGCGCAGCACACUGACUAAGUCAAUCACAAAACGACAUAUACAGUAAGAGACCACUAUCAUAAAAACUCAUGAAAACAUUUACGCACAGAAACAAUCCUUGAUGUUCACCAGGGAGACGAAGAGUGGGCAGAGAAAAGCUAAGUAAACAAUAACCAAAAAAACCAAACCCACUGCCGUCGAGUCGAUUCCAGCUCAUAGAGACCUAUAGGACAGAUUAGAACUGCCCCAUAGAGUUUCCAAGGAGUGCCUGGUGGAUUCGAACUGCAGACCUUUGGUUAGCACCGGUGGCUCUUAACCACUACACCACCAGAGUUUCCAACCAAACAACAGAUAUGUGGUAAUUCUGGUGAAGGAAGAGACGGUACACAAGACUGGGGAAUGAACCUCAGCCUCACUCUAACCCUAACCCUAACCCUAAACCACUUGUGCCCGAGCCUAGUAACCCCAGCCCUAACCCCAACCCCCAACCACCUAAAACCUAUACCCCUCAACCUAACUCCCAAACCUCUAACCCCCAAACCUGGACCCCUAACACCAAACCCUAACCCCUAACCCUAACCCUAAUCCUCUAACCCUUCUGCAUCUCUGGGCCUCUCAACUCUCCGUCUGUUUUCUCCCUCCAAAUCCUACUAACACUCAGUGGAAUUUUGAAGUUUCAGCUGUGCUUUGCUUCUUGUUGUCUCCACCGGUCCCAUCAAGGCACUGCAUCAUUUGCUCUGCUUCACUAUUGAGUUCCAAAACCAUGGAUUAGAAUCGCCUGACACUGAACUUCAGCGAUUCGGCGCA